rnacentral:rRNA from 1 species
AUGGAAGGCCUCUUGCAUUGGGACUUUGCACCUGGCCUUGCAUUGGCCGAUCAGGUGAGACGCAGGUUUGGCUCCACGGUCCAUUUCUCUCCUUCUCGGGACUCCAAGGAAUUUUUUUUGGUGGUCUCUUUCUCCUCGGCUUCCUUCCCCCUCACUGUGGGUUCGGUUGGCAUUGCACUACAAUGCUGUAUUGGG